CAAUAGCGUAUAUUAAAGUUGUUGCAGUUAAAAAGCUCGUAGUCGGAUUUCGGGUCGGGCCGAGCGGUCUGCCGAUGGGUAUGCACUGUUUGGCGCGGCCUUCUUUCCGGAGACCGCGGCUACUCUUAACUGAGCGGGCGUGGGAGACGGAUCGUUUACUUUGAAAAAAUCAGAGUGUUUCAAGCAGGCAGCUCGCUCUUGCAUGGAUUAGCAUGGGAUAAUGAAAUAGGACUUUGGUGCUAUUUUGUUGGUUUCGAACACCGAAGUAAUGAUUAACAGGGACAGUCAGGGGCACUCGUAUUCCGCCGAGAGAGGUGAAAUUCUCAGACCAGCGGAAGACGAACCACUGCGAAAGCAUUUGCCAGGGAUGUUUUCACUGAUCAAGAACGAAAGUUAGGGGAUCGAAGAUGAUUAGAUACCAU
rnacentral:rRNA from 1 species